CAUGACUGACAAUUCCACUCCCACCUCAAACCCCAGCUCCACUCCCACCAUGACCGACAACUCCACUCUCACCUCAAUCCCCAGUUCUACCCUCACUACAAUCGACAACUCUACUCCCACCUCAUCCUCCACCUCCACCCCGACCACAACCAACAACUCCACCCCCACCUCAAGCCUCAGCCCCAGCCCCACCAUAACCGACAACUCCUCUCCUCCUUCAACCCCCAGCUCCUCUCCCACCAUGACCAACAACUCCACUCCCACCUCAACCCCCAGUUCCACUCCCACCAUGACCAACAACUCCACUCCCACCUCAACCCCCAGUUCCACUCCCACCAUGACCAACAACUCCACUCCCACCUCAACCCCCAGUUCCACUCCCACCAUGACCAACAACUCCACUCCCACCUCAACCCCCAGUUCCACUCCCACCAUGACCAACAACUCCACUCCCACCUCAACCCCCAGUUCCACUCCCACCAUGACCAACAACUCNCACCCACCACGACCCCCAACUCCGCUGCAAUCAUGAACCCCAGCUCUGCCCCCACCACAACCGACAACUCCACUCCCACCUCAACCCUCAGCUCCACUCCCACCAUGACCAACUUCACCCCCACCUCAACCCCGAGCUCCACCCUCACUAUGACUGACAACUCCACUCCCACAUCAACCCCCACCCUGAGCACAAUCGACAACUCCACCCGAGUGGGUGCCACAACCCCCAGCUCCACCCCCACUGUGACCCNGUGACCCCCAGCUCCACUCCUACCUCUACUCCCAGUUCCACCCCCACCACAAGCUUCAACUCCACCCCCACCACAACCGACAACUCCACUCCCACCUCAACCACCAGCUUCACGACCCCCAACUCCACUGCAAUCAUGAACCCCAGCUCACCUGACACUUCAACCCUCAGCUCCACUUCCACCUCAACCUCCAGCUCCCCUGACACCUUGACCUACAGCUCCACUGCAACUGGGAUCCUCAGCUCCACAGGCUCCUCAACCCCCAAUUCUGCUGCCACCUCAACCACCAGCUCUGCUGGCACCUCGACCCCCAGCUCCACAGGCAGCUCGACCCCGAAUUCUGCUGCCACCUCGACCCCCAGCUCCACAGGCAGCUCAAUCCCGAAUUCUGCUGCCACUUCGAUCCCCAGCUCCAUAGGCACCUCGACCCCCAGCUCCGUUUCCAGAGUUACCAGCUCUGCUACAAUCUCUCCACAAUCUACAGUCACUAUUUCCAAGAAUACUAGGCAUCCUACUUCUUCUGGGUCUCCUGCAGUCACGCCCACCCCCUCUGUUGUCAGCUCUGCAAGUUCACCUAGCUCCAGCACUUCUGGUGUCCCAGCCUCAUCUGCUCCCACCCUGGGUUCCAUCCCAACUAGCAGAGAUAUGACUUCUUCUGGCCCACCGGCUACUGGACCAACCACCUCACCCAGUCUACAUGAAUCCACAACACCUUCAGGGUCUGGCGCUACCACCUCAUCUCUUGCGACCGUUUUUGUCACCUCACAGACCACAGCCUCUCCGGAUAGCAGCGCCCUCCCCUACUGGGCCAUCAUCCUCAUUUGCCUGGCAACGCUGAGCCUGCUGACUUUCUGCUCUCUGUUGGUGUUUUUCCUAAAGUCGAGGCUGGCUGACGCCACCUCCUACUCCGUUCAGAAGGCUCAUCAGUUUCUCCAGAACCAGAGCUGACGCAAUCACAGUUGAGGGAAGAACGGGCCAUCCAGAACCCUUGACUACAGCCACCCACAACAGGGCUGCUCUGAUCCGGCACACCUGGGCUAAUCCAGAGCCACUACAGUCAUUAUUGAGCCGAGAAAGCCAGUAUUAAUCCUUAGCUGCCAGAUGAACAUAUGCUGCUCUCUGGGGGGCAGCGGUGGGAUGGAGCUUCGGUCCCCUUCUGGGACCAGGGAACACAGAUCAUUGGAAUCUGCACCGAGAAACACAAGCAUCCUAUGGUCUGUUCACUCAUUAGGUGGCACCCAGAAGAAAGGAACAAAUCAAAAGGAGAUGGAUGGCUAUCGAAUGGGCUGGAGAGUGGUGGAGUUGUCCAGUGGUUAGCGCACAGGACUCCUGGCUUCUAUCACCCGUUGUGGGAGUGAAGUGGGGUCUAGCAGGUUGAGCAGGGGGAGCCAGGACAUCUGGGUUUUAUUCCUCUGACUGCACAGCAUCCAUUGAACAAAUAUUUUCUUUGCUGGUCUGCACUGCUGUAUUUCUGUGACCUCUUCAUAGCAGGGCCUGUCUCUCUCUCUGUGUCUGGGCAGCGCCCGACACAACAGGGCCCUGAUUUCAGCUGGGGCAGGGCCCGUCUCUCACUGUGUGUCUGGGCAGUGCCUGGCACAUUGGAGCCCUGAUUUCAGCUGGGGCAGGGCCUGUCUCUCACUGUGUGUCUGGGCAGUGCCUGGCACAUUGGAGCCCUGAUCUCAGCUGGGGCAGGGCCUGUCUCUCACUGUGUGUCUGGGCAGUGUCCGGAAUAACAGGGCCUUGAUCUCAGCUGGGGCCGGGACUGUCUCUCACUGUGUGUCUGGGCAGUGCCUGGCACAUUGGAGCCCUGAUCUCAGCUGGGGCAGGGUCUGUCUCUCACUGUGUGUCUGGGCAGUGCCUGGCACAUUGGAGCCCUGAUCUCAGCUGGGGCAGGGACUGUCUCCCCCUGUGUGUCUGGGCAGCGCCCGGCACAACGGGGCCCUGAUCUCUGCAAUUGUCUCCCUAUCAGAAUCACUGAGGCUUGAAUCAAUAUACUGGAAGCUUUGUCCUUGGUGAAAAUAUGUACAUUCGCCAGGGGCAACAGUUGUAAAUUUUGUAUCAAAGAUUUUAUUGUAAAAUUGUGUAUUUUACUCUUGUUUCAAGUUUGCACAUUUGCACUAUGUUGGGUUAUUUAACUCUGCCUUUGUCUAUACCUCAUGUAUUAAUCUGUGGAUUGUUAUUUUAUAUAUAGAUAUAUAUUAUAUAUGUAAUAAAUAUUAAAUAUUUCAUCU
rnacentral:lncRNA from 1 species